rnacentral:rRNA from 1 species
GACGAACGCUGGCGGCGUGCUUAACACAUGCAAGUCGAACGGAAAGGCCCUGCUUCUGUGGGGUGCUCGAGUAGCGAACGGGUGAGUAACACGUGAGUAACCUGCCCUUGACUUUGGGAUAACUUCAGGAAACUGGGGCUAAUACCGGAUAGGAGCUCCUGCUGCAUGGUGGGGGUUGGAAAGUUUCGGCGGUUGGGGAUGGACUCGCGGCUUAUCAGCUUGUUGGUGGGGUAGUGGCUUACCAAGGCUUUGACGGGUAGCCGGCCUGAGAGGGUGACCGGCCACAUUGGGACUGAGAUACGGCCCAGACUCCUACGGGAGGCAGCAGUGGGGAAUAUUGCACAAUGGGCGGAAGCCUGAUGCAGCAACGCCGCGUGCGGGAUGACGGCCUUCGGGUUGUAAACCGCUUUCGCCUGUGACGAAGCGUGAGUGACGGUAAUGGGUAAAGAAGCACCGGCUAACUACGUG